rnacentral:tRNA from 13 species
GGCUCGGAGGUCUAGGUGUAUGAUUCUCGCUUUGGGUUCGAGAGGUCCCGGGUUCAAAUCCCGGCCGAGCCC